rnacentral:rRNA from 1 species
UACGAAGGGGGCUAGCGUUGUUCGGAAUUACUGGGCGUAAAGGGCGCGUAGGCGGCGUGUCAAGUCAGGCGUGAAAGCCCCGGGCUCAACCUGGGAACCGCGCUUGAGACUGGCAUGCUCGAGUUCGGUAGGGGAGACUGGAAUUCCUGGUGUAGCGGUGAAAUGCGCAGAUAUCAGGAGGAACACCGGUGGCGAAGGCGGGUCUCUGGGCCGAAACUGACGCUGAGGAGCGAAAGCGUGGGGAGCAAACAGG